UGUCGUUGGUGCGGGAUCAAUAGAAACAACUCCCUUGACCCCUGCUUCAAUAUAUUCGGGAUCAAUAACUAAUAAAGCAGGUUUUUAGUAGCUGGCUUGCAGACCCGCCCUACAAUUAAGAGUAUGUUACAAUCUUUGAAUCCGAUGGACAGAUUCACAGUGUAACAUCAAAUUUCUUCGAGGGCAAAGUUAGCUUAUAUAUGAGGUCAGCGGAUGCUUGAGCUUCAGGUCACUUUCUUUCACAUCUGAAGGUCAGAAAGUCUCAUUUU
rnacentral:lncRNA from 1 species